AACGAACGCUGGCGGCAUGCCUAACACAUGCAAGUCGAACGAUGCCUUCGGGCAUAGUGGCGCACGGGUGCGUAACGCGUGGGAAUCUGCCUUUCGGUUCGGAAUAACUCAGGGAGACUUGAGCUAAUACCGGAUAACGUCGCAAGACCAAAGAUUUAUCACCGAAAGAUGAGCCCGCGUAGGAUUAGCUAGUUGGUGAGGUAAAGGCUCACCAAGGCGACGAUCCUUAGCUGGUCUGAGAGGAUGAUCAGCCACACUGGGACUGAGACACGGCCCAGACUCCUACGGGAGGCAGCAGUGGGGAAUAUUGGACAAUGGGCGAAAGCCUGAUCCAGCAAUGCCGCGUGAGUGAUGAAGGCCUUAGGGUUGUAAAGCUCUUUUACCCGGGAAGAUAAUGACGGUACCGGGAGAAUAAGCCCCGGCUAACUCCGUG
rnacentral:rRNA from 1 species